CCCAAUACAAAAAAAAAGAAGGAAAGAAGAAACAGAGGAGAAGACUCUUGAAGGGAGUCUUCUUCCUCCUCUCACCGACUCCCAACCAGAGUCGGAAAGAGGCCUCCUCUGGCUCUAUUUAAGGAGGAGAUCCCUCCUCUCUCUCUUCCACUGAAAAUUCUGAAGUUCAUCGAUGGCAAUCGUCGAAAAAUCAUCGCGAAAGACCGACUCUGUGCUCGUCCAAUUUUCUAGUCGAAAAACCUCGUCGGUGUCGAAGAUGAGCCUCCUUCCCUUCCUCUCUUCUCCCCCUUUCUUUCCAUGCCAGUG
rnacentral:lncRNA from 1 species